UCUGGGCGUAGUGCUGCACGCCUGUAUUCCCAGCUACUUGGGAGGCUGAGGCAGGAGAAUAGCUCGAGCCCAGGAGUUUGAGGCUGCAGUGAGUCAUGAUUGCACCACUGCACUCCAGCCUGGGUGACAGAGUGAGACCCUGUCUCUU
rnacentral:SRP_RNA from 1 species